rnacentral:rRNA from 1 species
GAUGAACGCUAGCGGGAGGCCUAACACAUGCAAGCCGAGCGGUAUUGUUUCUUCGGAAAUGAGAGAGCGGCGUACGGGUGCGUAACACGUGUGCAACCUGCCUUUAUCUGGGGGAUAGCCUUUCGAAAGGAAGAUUAAUACUUCAUAAUAUAUUGAACGGCAUCGUUUAAUAUUGAAAGCUCCGGCGGAUAGAGAUGGGCACGCGCAAGAUUAGCUAGUUGGUGAGGUAACGGCUCACCAAGGCGAGGAUCUUUAGGGGGCCUGAGAGGGUGAUCCCCCACACUGGUACUGGGACACGGACCAGACUCCUACGGGAGGCAGCAGUGAGGAAUAUUGGUCAAUGGGUGCAAGCCUGAACCAGCCAUCCCGCGUGAAGGACGACUGCCCUAUGGGUUGUAAACUUCUUUUGUAUAGGGAUAAACCUACCCUCGAGAGGGUAGCUGAAGGUACUAUACGAAUAAGCACCGGCUAACUCCGUG